rnacentral:rRNA from 1 species
UCCUACGGGACGCAGCAGUGAGGAAUAUUGGUCAAUGGACGAGAGUCUGAACCAGCCAAGUAGCGUGAAGGAUGACUGCCCUAUGGGUUGUAAACUUCUUUUAUAUGGGAAUAAAAUGUUCCACGUGUGGGAUUUUGUAUGUACCAUAUGAAUAAGGAUCGGCUAACUCCGUGCCAGCAGCCGCGGUAAUACGGAGGAUCCGAGCGUUAUCCGGAUUUAUUGGGUUUAAAGGGUGCGUAGGCGGAUCGUUAAGUCAGUGGUCAAAUUGAGGGGCUCAACCCCUUCCCGCCAUUGAAACUGGCGCU